UAGGGAAUCUUCCACAAUGGACGCAAGUCUGACGGAGCAACGCCGCGUGAGUGAAGAAGGGUUUCGGCUCGUAAAGCUCUGUUGUUAAAGAAGAACGUGGGUAAGAGUAACUGUUUACCCAGUGACGGUAUUUAACCAGAAAGCCACGGCUAACUACGUGCCGG
rnacentral:rRNA from 1 species